rnacentral:rRNA from 1 species
GGGUGCGAUCAUACCAGCACUAAUGCACCGGAUCCCAUCAUAACUUCGCAGUUAAGCGUGCUUGGGCGAGAGUAGUACUAGGAUGGGUGACCUCCUGGAAGUCCUCGUGUUGCACCCC